UAGCUUUUCUCCUGAAAGUUGGGCGU
rnacentral:piRNA from 1 species